GAUCUUCCGGAGGUGUCGCGGCGGCCAAGCGUCGUCCUCCGGUUUUCGCAAAUAUCUUUUCCUUCUACGUGGGCAUUCUGGUGGGCUGGCCGGGGUGGAGAAGGACCCCUGACCUUUAACCCCGGACACACAUUGAUUCCGUCGGCCUUCCCAGAAGGCGGAUCCUGACUUGCGUCCUAGGGCGGUGCCCGGGUUCGAGGGUAUUCCCGGCAUGGUGGGGCGGGUCUUGGUUGGGGUGAAUGCCCACCUAGAGGGUGUUUACGGGUUGUGCCCGGUGGUGGGGGUGCCCCGGCCGGGGGGGGCGGGGGGGGUUGUGUCCUGCUAGGAGUGGGUGCCGACUGUGUGCCGACUGAGAAGGCUGCCCCGAUGGGGGGGGAGGGGAAUGUUCCGACGGGAGGAUUGCCCCAACUUUGGGAGGAUGUCUCAAUAAGGAGACUUGCCUCCGUUUGGGGUGCUUCGGUUAGGAGAGGUGCCCUGAUUAGGGGUAAUGUCACAGCUGGUGGGUGCUCUGGCCAGGGUCCGUUUCUUCUGUGGGAGAGUAUGCACUGAUUAGGGAAGGUGGCCCGCUAUGAAAGUGUGCUCUGGAUGGGGACAGUGUUCUGAUUGGAAGGCUGGGGGUAGAAUGGGGAUUGUCCCAAUGAGGAAGACUGCCCCCCGCUAGGAACGGGGUUCUCCAGUUAGGUGUUCCCAGCCUGGGCAGCCUCCCUGAUCACCCCAAGCUCCUUGAAUCGGCACCUACCCAGCAGCCUGCCUCCCAGUUUUGCACGGGGAAGAAGAUCUCAGCACACCCAGCCGCCUUCAUGGACAGCAUCACAUAAACUGGCUUCGCCACCCCCCCGCCCCCCAUGGUCAGACUGACUUCUAUCAUCUUCUGGCAGUUGAAGAAAGAUGUAUAGACCGAAACUGGGGUUCUCUGACCGGUCUUCGCAACAAGAACUGAGGAGGCUCUGAGUUGAAGGCUAACCUGCUCCACCCCCUCGCACAUGCGGGCUCACUCUCAUGGGACUCCAGAAAAAUUACUCUACUAAGGUGGACAUUGACAGUCACACAGGUGCAAAGGAGGAAAUGGACGACUGCCCCAGUCUCCGGGGAGAGGCUGAUCCCGAGGCGGAGGCUGCGAGGAACGGCCGGGCAGCAGCAGGUCCUGAGUGCGCCGGGCCAGGCCAGGAGCAAAGGCACGAGGCCCUGGGCGCCCGGUCCCAGGGCAGAGGUCAGCCCACCCGGAAAAGGCGGCACAGGGUCAGCUCCCGGGCGUCAGGCUGGGAUCUGCACCGCCACAGCUCUGCUCAUAGGAUGGCGGGGCCUCUGCGGGGAAAGAGCAAAGUCUGCAAGGGGCUCAAGGGGCCCUCUCCCCCAGCCAGACCCCAGGCCUCUCACUCACCAUAGGGAUAACCCCAUGAGCUGUAUUCUGGGGGCAGGAUCAAGGUACUGGUGGUGGGCACUGGCCCUCCUGAACCCUCUGCAAAGUAGGGAACAGUGGCACCUGUAGAGAUGCACAAGGGAGGGGGCAGUGGGUGGGGAGCAGGGCUGCCAUCCUGAGGGCGGGGCUCAGGGGCAGCAGGCACAGAGCCGAAGGUGGCAGGUAGUGACUGCUGUUGUGAGUGGCUCUUCGUGGAGAGGGAGACUGCGUCUGCAAAGUGGGGGCUGCUGGCCGCAGCCUCCGCCUCCUCCUGGGGCGGUGCGGAGGGCACCACCGGGAUUGAGGCCCCAGGAGGCAGCCCUGGGCCUGGCCGGGGGCUCAGCGGGGCGUGGUUCACAGCAAUAUUGCCGAUGAAGACAGGAAGGGUCACGGUGGCUUCAGGCACCUUCAGGGAGACCUGGGGAGGAUGGGAGAGUGAGGCUAGGCCACCUGCCCCCCUUUCCCACCCCGCUCCCUCCAACCCCCAGCACCUGCAAGUAGUAGUCCACGUGGAUAAGGCUGCAACCUGGCAGGGCUGACUGGGGCAGGGCAGGCACCAGGAUCUGCUCUUGCCACUGCGCCCGCCUCCAGGCCUUGACACCCGCACCCUCUACCUCGGCGAUGGUCCGCACAUCAUAGAUCCAGCGCUUGGCCUUGUAGGAUACUUUCUGGGGAAGGGCCAGCCUGUGAGCCUGGGCAGGCCAGGCACCUACCCCUCCUCUGGUCCCAUGGGGACAGGCCCUGACAGUCAGAGGGGACUCUGACCUGCAGCAGACUGGCUACCACAGGGCUGGUGUCCUUGCCUGACUGGUUCUCGAUGUCAGCCUGCAGCCGCAGCACCUGGCCCACCACGUAGCCACGGAGGUCGGUGCUGGCGGUGAGGACCACGCUGCCCGUCUUCACCAGCUUGUAGGAGAACUUCUUGGUGGUGGAGGCCACGUUGGGUUGCUUGAGGGGAGGGCAGGAGUGAGGGGGUUUGGUGGGCGUGGGCAACCUAGAUCCCUAAGGCCUCUCGCUGAACAAGCCCCCUGUGCCCUGCUAUCCCCUGCCCCCCAGACACAGCACAGUGAGCUCGGGACAGAGAGGCCGCUGCUCUUCUAGAUCCCGGCCACCUCAUCUUAGUUGAGAACAGGACAUCCGGCAAAGGUGGGGACCACCCAGGAGACCACCGCUCCAUCCUCACCUCGAUGUCAGGGAUGCUGUUCAGAUUCAGGGGGCUCAAGAUAUAGAACACACGGCUGCACUGGUGAUCCUUGGAAAAACGUGGUGUGUCGAUGGUGGCCCGCACCUGGUGUACAAUCUUCCCAAAAGGGCCUUCAAAGGACGUUGGCGCUGUGGCUGGAGAGAGAGCAGGGAAUGGCACCCAACUGCCCCCUGCCCCACCUCCUGUCCACCAACUGUCACCAAGAGGCCUGGCCAGGCAAGGCUGGGCUCUUACCAGGAAGCAGGAACUGAAAGGGGAAGUUGUGCUCUCCAGCGGGCAGGCUUCCUGCAGAGACAGGAGGGGGGUGUAGGGGAGAGGGGGCUCAGGAGCCUUGAGGUGACACCACAGGACACAGGUUGGAAGCAGGCCCUGCAGCUGACCAGCUCACACGGCCUCUGGCUACUGGGUCUCCCAGCCUCUGAGUCCAGGCACGACAGCAGCAACGGGCUGCAGCCUGGGCAAAGGAAGUGAUGCGAGAUCUUGGCUUGAACAGGAAAGGGAGAUGGGGCUGUUCUGGGAGCCAGAGCCCACCCAAAUCAAGAAGGAACUGGCCCCCUUCAGCCACCCAACCCCUAUCAGGCAAUACUCAGAGCCUGAUGGGGAGAGAAAUACAUCAGGAUGCCAAGUAGUGCUAGAGGGUGAGCCAGCACGGGGGUCCCAGAGCCUGAUGGGGAGGUAGGGUGGACAGACGGGCCCCACGCUCAACCAAGGUCUGCCGUGGGCAGGGUCACUAUACACAGUGAGGCCAAGUACAGUCUCCCAAACUCACCCUUGUCAGCCAGCGACAGCGCACUGUUGAAGUAGCCCUCCUCCACUACCCACGCUGCAUCAUUGGCCUUGUUGGACACCCUGCAGGAACCCAUGCAGGUCACUCGGAUGGCUGCAAGGGGGGGAUGGCAUGAGUCCCAGCCAGCUACUGUCCUCGACCCCUCCCUGCCCCCGCCACAGAGACUUAGGUAGGGCUUGCAGCACUAAAGGGUGCUGGGACUUAGGCGGGCCAGCAAGUGGCCUGCUGCUCUCCAGAGGAUGCCUCCUGUCCAUCCCCCAUCUUGCGGUACUCCCAGUACAGUGCUCCCACGGCAAUGAGGCACAGAGUUACAUCUGUCCUGAAGCCCAGAACAGGAAGGCCCCAGUGGUCACUCAGAUGACACCUAGACAACCCCAGCCUGUUAACCUCUGUUCCCAGCCACCCCUGGGCCCACCAGACCUGUGAAGACUCAGCUGCCUAUAGGGCAUGCUUGGGACACCGAUGAUGAACAGAAGCCCAUGGGAGCCGCUGACCUCCAACCCUACUUCCUGCUGCCUCACAGGCAAGUCAGCUAGGCUGGGAGGCACCCCUUUAUGCUCCAGGAAACUAACUGCUCACCCUCGUGACACAGGAAUGUGGUCAGACCUGCCUGAGCAGAUAAGGUACCCAACAGUCUGGCACACUGGCAGGUGAGGACACCCUUGACUUCCUGGACCAGUGCUGCCCAGGAGGACUGGUUUUCAACAUCAAGAGAUGGUUCCGUCCUCUCCCCGACUCUCCUGUGGAAGCACCCAGACCAGAAGCAGAGGUCACCCCACCUUUCUGUGGUCGGGAACUCAAAUUCCUCACUCUAAUGGACAUAUGCCCAGAGACCACUACGGUCACAGGCUGUGGCUGGACAGCCAAGAAGACAGCACGGCUGGAGAACCAAGCAGAGAGGGGCUGGGAGCUCAGUGACUCUCACUCCUGGCAGCUCCACUUCCUUCCCUGCCCCGUGUUGAGACAAGGCCAAAGAUGUUAGCCUCCCUGCCCAGCCCCUCCUCUUCCUCCCAACUCGAUGGUCCAGUGAGGGCAAGGUGACUCAGAAUCUGACAGCCUCCUGACAGAGCCACCAGGCAGGAGGAACCUGGUAUCCCAAGUGUCCAGGGCCAGGAGCCAGCCACACCAGCCAUGUUCAUGUCUCCCCAGGCUGACUCCAUCCUGCCAAACAGGCCUCCUGUUAGCCAUCCACAGACCACCGGGCUUUCCCCCCACCGUGAACCCUUGGCUCAUCCUCCACCCCUGUUGGCACUGCCUGUGACUGGAUCCUGAUUUCUAAUCCACACACCAUCAGCCAUCCCUUCCUAGGGCCAGACCCAGAAUUGUUCCCACCCCAGAAAUCUGGGACAUCAGUGAUGCUCCUAUAGACCAACACAGCCCAAGAGAAACACGACAGGGGAGUGAACAGAACAAGGACGGGAAGUGUGACAAUUCCAGAUGCCACGUAACUUUAACACUCCCCAUGGAGGGGAUGCACUCUCCCUUGAAUCUGGCUGUCCUACGAACGCUGGGACCAGCACAGUGUGCCAGAAGGAGUUAAGUGGUCCCCAGAUUGGCCCAGUGCCAGCUGAAAACCGUCAAGUGACCCCAAUGGAUGGCACACACAGCUGAAGAAUCACUCUGCCCAAAUUCCUAAUCCACAGCACUGUGGGUCAUAGUAAGAUGGUCAUUUUAAACAACUUGACUUAGGAGUGACUUGUUAUGUAGAAACUUUUACAUAGAAACAGACAAGAACAGACGUCCAACCUCAGUGGAAAUCAGAGAGGCUCAUAUGAGUUACCAUUUUAACCCAUCAGACUGGCAGAUAUUAAAUAUUUUGACACGUGUUAGGAGACGGAAAGCACACUCCUUUAUGGUGAUCAAACUGUAGGCUACUACAGGGGCCCUGAAAAAGCACCAGGAAGGUCUGCUGUGAUCUUACACACACAUACCAGGAGACUCAACAGUUCUUAGAAUCCACCCUAUAGGGCACCUGGGUGGUUCAAUCGGAUGAGAGUCCGACUUCGGCUCAGGUCAUGAUGUCACAGUUUGUGAGUUCAAGCCCCAUAUCGGGCUCACUGCUGUCAGCCCAGAGCCUGCUUCAGAUCUUCUGUCCCCCUCUCUGUCUGCCCAUUCCCUACUUGUGCUCUCCCUCAAAAAUAAAUACACAUUAAAAAAAAAAAAAAAAAAGAAUCCACCCUAGCUACCCAAGAGCUUCGAGCAAUACUGGUACCGAGGACUAUCUAGGCAUAGCCCACGUCCAACAGCAGGAUGGUUAAAACAGUCACCCACCCAGACUGAACUUGGCCCCCAGAAUUCCGGUGAACAAGCCAUGGGGUCACCUGACCCUAGAAAAACAAACAGUAUCAAAUCGACCCUUGGGGUAUUCCGGGUGGGGGGCAAGUUCUAUGACCUUCCCAAUGUGCAGGCAAAGAGCCUCUUUUUGCACACAUGCCUAAGCCUCUUCAGAGACCUUGCCUGAAUGAGCAGCUUCCAAUCACUGUCUUGGAGUCAAACAGCCUGUUCCUGUGCACUCUCCUCCACAGGAGAACAAUGGAGGUGCAGGGGACAGAUACACACAGCAGGCUUGUCCCUCCCACCUCCUGCAGUGGGGGAUCUGCUCCCGCAGGUGACCAUGACCAUCACCAGUGUGAUGGGUGGCAGCACAGCCACAGGACAGGGGAGGUAUGUUCUGGUAAGGGACAGCCUCUGCCACACAGAAACAAGCCCUGCUGUACCAUCUAGGUUUAAAAGUGUUUCAGUUCUAACAGUGGGUCUGGGGCUGCUCCAGUUCUCUAAGGAACAUCAUCAUGUGGACUGUGUUCCAGAGAGACUUCUAGAACUUUCCUCCCCAGCCAGCCCUCCCCUGUCCAGUAGCCCUCCUCCCUUGCACCACCUGCCAUCACUCUUCAUUCUGGUCCCAAAGGUCUCGCCCACCUCCACCAGCUCCCACAAAUCCACAGCAGCCCACCUUUUGCCACAUCUUUUCACUAAAGCUCUGGCCUAUGAGGCACUUCUGUCUGCCCCAUGUCCAAAUCUGAAACAUGACAAUAAUAAUGGUGCCCACCUCUCAGGGUUGCUCUGGCGGUUUAUAGUUGGUCCAUGGGAGGUGGGGAGAAUAGUGUCUGGCCUGCAGUGACAGCUCAGGGAACUGACAGAGCUGGGAGCUGACCACUGCUGUCGUCUGGGUACCACCCUCCCUCAAUGCCAGAAAAGAGUGCACCCCGUGUGACCCCCAGACUCAGGCUCAGCUGGACUUGGGCUCCAGGAAACCGGUUCCUUCCCCAGCUUUCUACAGUAGCUCUGAGGACAGCCAGUGCCCUCAUAGCUGAAGUGCAAAUCAUCACUGUCCCUCCUCAGACAAGUAUUUAGUGGGUAAGACUAGGAGCCCCCAGGAAAGACCUGCUGUCCUCGCCACCUCCAUGUCCUCCCAGAGGGGUGGAGGGCCUCCCUGUUGCAUCACUGGCUGGUAACAGGAGCUGAACAGGUAUCUUAAGAUGAAAGAUGCUUCAGAUUCUGUGUCUCCCUCUCUCUCUGACCCUCCCCUGUUCAUGCUUGGUCUCUCUCUGUCUCAAAAAUAAAUAAACAUUU